rnacentral:rRNA from 1 species
CAGUCGCCGCGGGAAUACGUAGGGUGCGAGCGUUAAUCGGAAUUACUGGGCGUAAAGCGUGCGCAGGCGGUUGUGUAAGACAGGUGUGAAAUCCCCGGGCUUAACCUGGGAACUGCGCUUGUGACUGCACAGCUAGAGUAUGGCAGAGGGGGGUGGAAUUCCACGUGUAGCAGUGAAAUGCGUAGAGAUGUGGAGGAACACCGAUGGCGAAGGCAGCCCCCUGGGCCAAUACUGACGCUCAUGCACGAAAGCGUGGGGAGCAAACAGGAUUAGAUACCCGGGUAGUCCCUGUCUCUUAUAA